GCUUCGGUGGCCUAGUGGUUAGAGCGUCCGCCUCGGAUGCGGGAGGUAGUGGGUUUUAUCCCUGGUCGAGUCA